rnacentral:tRNA from 1 species
GAGGGGUGGCUGAGUGGCUGAAAGCGGCGGUUUGCUAAACCGUUAUACGGAUCAUAUCCGUAUCGGGGGUUCGAAUCCCCCUCCCUCC